CUCACAGAUCGGGCAACCAGCUGGACCUCAUCUUUACACGCCAGCACGUGCUACACCACCCAGCCCCUGGCUGUCUGACGUCCUUCGUGAACAUCGGACUGACCUCAGGGCAGCUGAGAGGAGAUGGCGGAAAUCUAAAGAUCCAGCAGAUCUAGAACAAGCUGCUGGAUGACAAUCAGUCAGGCUUUAAAAGUGGACACUCCACCGAGACCGCCCUGCUGUCUGUCACCGAGUCGCUGAGAUGGGCGAAAGCUGAAUCCAGAUCAUCAGUCCUGAUUCUGCUGGACCUUUCUGCAGCCUUUG